UACGUAGGGAGCGAACGUUGCUCGGAAUUACUGGGCGUAAAGAGUGUGUAGGUGGCUUAAUAAGUCAAAGAUGAAAUCCCGAGGCUUAACCUCGGAACUGUCUUUGAAACUGUUAGGCUUGAGGAUAGUUGAGGAGAACGGAAUUCCCGGUGGAGCGGUGAAAUGCGUAGAUAUCGGGAGGAACACCAGAGGCGAAGGCGGUUCUCUGAGCUACUCCUGACACUGAGACACGAAAGCUAGGGGAGCAAACGGGAUUAGAUACCCGCGUA
rnacentral:rRNA from 1 species